rnacentral:rRNA from 1 species
GGAGUUAGUGGCGAACGGGUGAGGUAACACGUGAGUAACCUGCCCUUAACGUCUGGGAUAAGCCUGGGAAACUGGGUCUAAUACCGGAUAGGAGCGUCCACCGCAUGGUGGGUGUUGGAAAGAUUUAUCGGUUUUGGAUGGACUCGCGGCCUAUCAGCUUGGUUGGUGAGGUAAUGCUCACCAAGGCGACGACGGGUAGCCGGCCUGAGAGGGUGACCGGCCACACUGGGACUGAGACACGGCCCAG